CCUACGGGUGGCUGCAGUGAGGAAUAUUGGUCAAUGGGCGGGAGCCUGAACCAGCCAAGUCGCGUGAGGGAUGAAGGCUCUAUGGGUUGUAAACCCCUUUUGCCGGGGAGCAGAGUGCCGCACGUGUGCGGGUUGGAGAGUACCCGGAGAAAAAGGAUAGGCUAACGCCGUGCCAGCAGCCGCGGUAAUACGGAGGAUGCGAGCGUGAUCCGGAUUUAUUGGGUUUAAGGGGUGCGUAGGCGGACGCUUAAGUCAGCGGCAAACUUGCGGGGCUCAACCUCGUCGAGCCGUUGAAACUGGGUGCCUUGAGUGGGCGAGAAGUACGCGGAAUGCGUGGUGUAGCGGUGAAAUGCAUAGAUAUCACGCAGAACUCCGAUUGCGAAGGCAGCGUACCGGCGCCCAACUGACGCUGAAGCACGAAGGCGUGGGUAUCGAACAGGAUUAGAUACCCCGGUAGUC
rnacentral:rRNA from 1 species